GGUAUUCCAUGCUAGAGUUCUGAUGGUGAUGUAUCGGUUUUUACUGAGAAUCGUGAUAUGUAUAGAAUUAUCAGCCGAGAAUAGCCGGCUGCCCUUCUGCUUAUAGGUUACUUUAAUCAAGCUGUAGCAGUGGAGAAUUGGGUUUCUUGGGUACCAAACACUCUUUGCAGGAAGCUAUUGACGAUGGCCAGGAAUUCUUCGACACGUUCUUCAUGAGGUAAGUGCCCGCAGUUCUUGAUUACUUCGAGGGUGGAGCCAGGUAUGGCCUUUGAUAGGCGAACAGCAUUCGACGAAGGAACAAUGCGGUCGGUGUCGCCGGUAAUGAUCAGAACUGGGCACAAGAUUGCAGAUAAUCUUCUAGUUAGUGGAGGUUUAGAUUUUGAUUCAGAAUCAUUAAGCAUGGCUAUAGUGUACUCCAAGAGAGCCUUUUCCCAACCCUUAACCCUCAGUGGCUUCGUAUAACCUUGAAGAACAUGAUGCGGAAUUUUACUUGCAUCAUACCAGGCAUUGCGUACACCUGCUAUGCCGAACUUAUCCAUCACAAACCUCACCAACAUUACAGCAAAAGCCGAUCGAAGAACAGCGGACACCGUCUUAACAUAAAUCAAGCGCACCAUCUCUCUCAUCCCUGUCAACAUCCGAAACGCUGCCCUCGCAAUAUACCCAAAUAGCUCGCACACCCAUCUCCAUAGCCUCACAAUCGGAUUCU
rnacentral:misc_RNA from 1 species